AUAUACAUACAUACAUACAUACACACACAUAUAUAUAUAUAUAGAAAAGAUCAUGUAAUCAGAGAGAUUGAAAGAUAUACUCUCGUAAAUUCCCACCCGCAGUUAUAUUAUAUUAGAAACGGAGAGGUAUACGAGGUCUUAUGCGGGAUCGUAGUCAGUGUAUCACCCUCAACCAAUCAGAAAAUAUCAUGAGAAACCGAAAUUCAUAGCAAAGAGACAGAGAAAGAGAGAAAAGAAGAGAAAGAGAGAGAGAGGGAAAGAGUGAGGACGGAAAGAGUUUCGCGAUCGGCGAAUAAAUCUUAAGCGCGAUCGGAUCAUAGGAAGCGAGCUAAGUAAGGUUGUGAAGAAGGAACGCGCGAGAGCGCGGAGCGAGCUCGCUAAUUAGCGCCGAUGAAAUUAGCAGUUAAUAUACGCGUAUACACACGGAAUGGGGGUAGUUUGAUUGGGCCAAUUCGAGGCAAUUCCUGGCGAUUGCUGGUUUCAUUGAGCCUGCGCUUAAGAGCUCAGUGCCAUGCUGCCGGUCAACGGACAUGGAUCUCUUCUUCGAGGUUCUAUCACGACUUUUCGACUAUAUCUCGAUCGUAGAUCGAACCGAUCGAUCAGUUACGUUGAUUUCCAGUGAUUUCACAUUUCACUUCGUUGUUACAUACCUAUUGGCUGAUUGUAGUACCAUAGAACGAGUAAGAGGAAUGACCAGAAGAAAGAAGAGUGUUCAUUAUCAACUAAGAAAUGUUAAAUUCGAGGGAUAUAUUAGUGAAAUUAAAGUUAACAAUUGUGAUUAUGAGAUAGGAUGAAGUGCGUGAUGACACAUUUGUCAAGAUUUUUAGCGGGGAAAAAAGGAAGAAGAAGAAAAUGGCGGCUUAUGGUAUAACCUGACCUCGAAGAGAGAAACAUAUAUAUAGAUAUAUAUACACAUACAUAUAUAUUAUUAUAUACUAUAAGCACAUCUCUCUCGUAUAUACUGUACUCUGUGU